ACGUAGGGGGCAAGCGUUAUCCGGAAUUAUUGGGCGUAAAGAGUACGUAGGUGGUUACCUAAGCACGGGGUAUAAGGCAAUGGCUCAACCAUUGUUUGCCUUGUGAACUGGGCUACUUGAGUGCAGGAGAGGAAAGCGGAAUUCCUAGUGUAGCGGUGAAAUGCGUAGAUAUUAGGAGGAACACCAGUGGCGAAGGCGGCUUUCUGGACUGUAACUGACACUGAGGUACGAAAGCGUGGGGAGCAAACAG
rnacentral:rRNA from 1 species